ACGGGGAGAAGACUAACAGGAUUCCCCUAGUAACUGCGAGUGAAGCGGGAAAAGCUCAAAUUUUAAAUCUGGUAGUCUUUGGCUAUCCGAGUUGUAAUCUAGAGAAGCGUUAUCCGCGCUGGACCGUGUAUAAGUCUCCUGGAAUGGAGCGUCAUAGAGGGUGAGAAUCCCGUCCUUGACACGGACUACCAGGGCUUUGUGAUGCGCUCUCAACGAGUCGAGUUGUUUGGGAAUGCAGCUCUAAAUGGGUGGUAAAUUCCAUCUAAAGCUAAAUAUUGGCGAGAGACCGAUAGCGAACAAGUACCGUGAGGGAAAGAUGAAAAGAACUUUGGAAAGAGAGUUAAACAGUACGUGAAAUUGUUGAAAGGGAAACGCUUGAAGUCAGUCGCGUUGGUCGGGGAUCAACCUUGCUUUUGCUUGGUGUACUUCCUGAUUAACGGGUCAGCAUCAAUUUUGACCAGUGGAAAAAGUUCGAGGGAAUGUGGCAUCUCAGGAUGUGUUAUAGCCCUUGUUCGUAUACAUUGGUUGGGAUUGAGGAACUCAGCACGCCGCAAGGCCGGGUUUU
rnacentral:rRNA from 1 species